UGGGUAGAGCACUUGCCUAGCUUGUAUGAUCUUUUCCAUUGGGAAGAAGGGAAAGGAAAGAGAAGGGAUGGGAAGGAAAGUGAAGGGGAGGGCAGGGGAGGGGAAGGGAGGAGAAAGUCAAAGAGCAGAGGCAGGCAUAAUGACAUGUGCCUGUAAUCUCAGAACUCAGGAAAUGGAGGCAUGAGGGUCAGGAAUUCAAAGUCAUCUUUGGCUGUGUAAUGAGAUUGAAGUAAACCUCCCUCGAGAAGAAAAAUGAGGAAGAAAAAGGAGGAGGAAGAAAGAAAGAAAGAAGCAGAUAAAUAAAUAAAGACAGAGACUUCCUGCUGGACUGAUCUUCUGAGACAAAGUGUGACCCUUGGU
rnacentral:lncRNA from 1 species